rnacentral:rRNA from 1 species
AGCAGCCGCGGUAAUUCCAGCUCCAAUAGCGUAUAUUAAAGUUGUUGCAGUUAAAAAGCUCGUAGUUGAAUUUUGGGUUUGGCCAAUUGGUCCGUUCUUGUAACGAGUACUGGUUGGUUGGGCCUCACCGCCUGAUGAUACGUAAUGUCCUUUAUUGGGUGUUGCGAGUAGCCAGGACCUUUACCUUGAAAAAUUAGAGUGUUUAAAGCAGGCUUAUGCCGGAAUACAUUAGCAUGGAAUAAUAGAAUAGGACGAUGAUUCUAUUUUGUUGGUUUCUAGGAGCAUCGUAAUGAUUAAUAGGGAUAGUUGGGGGCAUUAGUAUUCAAUUGUCAGAGGUGAAAUUCUUGGAUUUAUUGAAGACUAACUACUGCGAAAGCAUUUGCCAAGGAUGUUUUCAUUAAUCAAGAACGAAAGUUAGGGGAUCGAAGACGAUCAGAUACCGUCGUAGUCCUUAACCAUAAACUAUGCCGACUAGGGAUCGGGCGAUGUUGUUUCAAUGACUCGCUCGGCACCUUAUGGG